rnacentral:rRNA from 1 species
CAUGCAAGUCGAACGGAAAGGCCCCUUCGGGGGUACUCGAGUGGCGAACGGGUGAGUAACACGUGGGCAAUCUGCCCUGCACUUCGGGAUAAGCCUGGGAAACUGGGUCUAAUACCGGAUAUGACCUCGAGGCGCAUGCCUUGUGGUGGAAAGCUUUUGCGGUGUGGGAUGGGCCCGCGGCCUAUCAGCUUGUUGGUGGGGUGAUGGCCUACCAAGGCGACGACGGGUAGCCGGCCUGAGAGGGUGUCCGGCCACACUGGGACUGAGAUACGGCCCAGACUCCUACGGGAGGCAGCAGUGGGGAAUAUUGCACAAUGGGCGCAAGCCUGAUGCAGCGACGCCGCGUGGGGGAUGACGGCCUUCGGGUUGUAAACCUCUUUCACCAUCGACGAAGGUCCGGGGUUUCUCGGAUUGACGGUAGGUGGAGAAGAAGCACCGGCCAACUACGUGCCAGCAGCCGCGGUAAUACGUAGGGUGCGAGCGUUGUCCGGAAUUACUGGGCGUAAAGAGCUCGUAGGUGGUUUGUCGCGUUGUUCGUGAAAUCUCACGGCUUAACUGUGAGCGUGCGGGCGAUACGGGCAGACUAGAGUACUGCAGGGGAGACUGGAAUUCCUGGUGUAGCGGUGGAAUGCGCAGAUAUCAGGAGGAACACCGGUGGCGAAGGCGGGUCUCUGGGCAGUAACUGACGCUGAGGAGCGAAAGCGUGGGGAGCGAACAGGAUUAGAUACCCUGGUAGUCCACGCCGUAAACGGUGGGUACUAGGUGUGGGUUUCCUUCCUUGGGAUCCGUGCCGUAGCUAACGCAUUAAGUACCCCGCCUGGGGAGUACGGCCGCAAGGCUAAAACUCAAAGGAAUUGACGGGGGCCCGCACAAGCGGCGGAGCAUGUGGAUUAAUUCGAUGCAACGCGAAGAACCUUACCUGGGUUUGACAUGCACAGGACGCGUCUAGAGAUAGGCGUUCCCUUGUGGCCUGUGUGCAGGUGGUGCAUGGCUGUCGUCAGCUCGUGUCGUGAGAUGUUGGGUUAAGUCCCGCAACGAGCGCAACCCUUGUCUCAUGUUGCCAGCGGGUAAUGCCGGGGACUCGUGAGAGACUGCCGGGGUCAACUCGGAGGAAGGUGGGGAUGACGUCAAGUCAUCAUGCCCCUUAUGUCCAGGGCUUCACACAUGCUACAAUGGCCGGUACAAAGGGCUGCGAUGCCGCAAGGUUAAGCGAAUCCUUUUAAAGCCGGUCUCAGUUCGGAUCGGGGUCUGCAACUCGACCCCGUGAAGUCGGAGUCGCUAGUAAUCGCAGAUCAGCAACGCUGCGGUGAAUACGUUCCCGGGCCUUGUACACACCGCCCGUCACGUCAUGAAAGUCGGUAACACCCGAAGCCAGUGGCCUAACCUUUUGGAGGGAGCUGUCGAAGGUGGGAUCGGCGAUUGGGACGAAGUCGUAACAAGGUA